UCGGGGACUGUGCACGCGGCGGAACACUCGUUCCGAAUUUGCUUUGUUCUCCGUGCGUCACCGACGCUAUAACCUUUAGCUUCUACGAGAUGGGCAUAGAUUUUUUAUAAGUUAUAUAUAUAUAUAUAUAUAUAUAUAUUUUCCGUCUGUGGUCGGAAGAAAUUCUUUGUUAAUUGGAACAGUUAAGAGCUAGCGCCGAGAAGGGAAUAUGGCCUGCUCUCGUAGAGUUGUUUGAUGUAGCUUCAAGGCACGUAGCUCGUUUUGUGGUGCUCGGUUCCAGAUUUCGAAUACGGGAAAUGAAUUCAGCUGGGACCGUGGAUGGAUAAAACGCAUCAAUCUGUAGGGCUGCUCUUGCAGUCGUCGGGGAACAGAUUUUGGAAGGAGACUAGAGGUUUGAUCCUUCGGGUGUAGAGGAUGAUGCACGGCGUUUUUCUUGGAAUGCCAUUCAAUCUACUUUUGAUCAUGUCAAAGUCAGGCUCCGGGAGUUCGUCCAAAAGCGCAGCAGCAGUUGUGGAGAAGAAGAGUGUGGACUUCGGCGAUUUUUUUUCAAUGUCAAAUUCGUGGAGAGGCGUUCAAUGUUACUUGAAUGGUUGAUCUUAUCAAGAAUUCGGACCUAUGUUCCUCUGUGGGAAACAAGCAGCUCACACUUUCAAGGGAGCGUAGACGUCAAUAGCCUUAUCGGACCCUCAAAUACAUAUUUGAGCGGAAGUGUUGGUUGACUUUGUCUGGCAUCCUUAGGCAUCGUGCCCUUUAUCAAUGCCUAGAUUAUGGUGCAGUUGCUGGGGACCGUGUUUCCCAAAUUACAGGGUCUUUAGUAAAAAGACGGAGAGGCUGUGCUCGUAAAGGUGAUUCGGUGGACUAACUUGCCUUCAGCGGAGUUUGGUGUUUCUCUCAGGCAGUGGGACAAGUAACGUACAUCCGGCCAUAUUUGACGGGUUUCUCCGUCGAGUGGGUAAUUUCAGCAGUGGCAGCUCUUAGACUAGUGGCGGUGCUGACUAUGUUCAUCGGAACAGAAUUCUAGAUUUGAAGUUUGACAACUGUGCUUCGCUGCUCAUCUUUAGCAAAAUUUUCACUCGCUCACUUUACUUGAUUGGUCAGCAUUUAGUCCAAGCUAUCAACAAGGGUAAUUACCCUGGCAGGCAACAUUGUCGUUCUAUGGCAAUAGUGCGUAGUUUGGCAGCUAUAAUAUUCCCCUUUAACACUUUAAGGGACUGAUAAUUCUAGAAACCCGAAUACGCUGUAGAAGGAUCAAUGAGUGGUAAAUCAAUUGUAACGGUCUGGUAGAGAGUAGUCUGGAUGUUCUUUUUAUUUAUCCCAGCUUAGAGCAUUGCUCUUGAUUGAAAGAUCCUUCAUACAAUAUGGUUUAAUCUCCAAUACUUUGUUGUGUAAAGGGCGUCUAUUCUCUCCGGGGCUAUUGCAAGCUUUUGUCUUCCUGCGAACAUUCUUUUGGUGGUGUUUUUUCAAUUACUUCUACACGUCCUUGCAACCCGAUCCUAAGAAAGUACUUCUGUUGUCAUUCGAGUGUGGUCUGCCUGUGACACAGCCUCAAAAGGUCGAAGCUGAGAUUGUGCCUCACCAUCACAAAGCAAUUGAAUUCUACGAUGUAGAUUGAAUCAAGCGGUUCCAAGCUGUAGACUUGUGCCAGUCUUUCGUCUGUAGUUUGCAGCCGUGUUCACAACCGAAGGAGGCUUUGUGCAGCUAUUUCAAGCCUAAUGGACAGGUCUCUUCAAACUACGGCUUUUCUUAAAACACCUAAUUUAGCUUAUUUUUGGGUUGCAGCCAGGUUUUAUUAUAGGUGAAAUAGGAAUGGAUGAAAUUCAUCUGUAGAGCUGUUAAAAAAUAUCCAUCCUUGUCAAAUUGUUUAGAGUGCAAGAUACUUUCAAGCGAGAAGUUUGUGAGGUACUAUCAAUAUUUGUCCUUCUUCCACUUGAUCACAAAGAAGUUGGAUUUGAUAA